rnacentral:misc_RNA from 1 species
AUUACCGAGUUUACAACUCCCAAACCCAAUGUGAACGUUACCAAACUGUUGCCUCGGCGGGAUCUCUGCCCCGGGUGCGUCGCAGCCCCGGACCAAGGCGCCCGCCGGAGGACCAACCAAAACUCUUAUUGUAUACCCCCUCGCGGGUUUUUUUAUAAUCUGAGCCUUCUCGGCGCCUCUCGUAGGCGUUUCGAAAAUGAAUCAAAACUUUCAACAACGGAUCUCUUGGUUCUGGCAUCGAUGAAGAACGCAGCGAAAUGCGAUAAGUAAUGUGAAUUGCAGAAUUCAGUGAAUCAUCGAAUCUUUGAACGCACAUUGCGCCCGCCAGUAUUCUGGCGGGCAUGCCUGUCCGAGCGUCAUUUCAACCCUCGAACCCCUCCGGGGGGUCGGCGUUGGGGAUCGGCCCUCCCUUAGCGGGUGGCCGUCUCCGAAAUACAGUGGCGGUCUCGCCGCAGCCUCUCCUGCGCAGUAGUUUGCACACUCGCAUCGGGAGCGCGGCGCGUCCACAGCCGUUAAACACCCAACUUCUGAAAUGUUGACCUCGGA